rnacentral:rRNA from 1 species
GGACAAACGCUGGCGGCAUGCCUACCACAUGCAAGUCGAACGGACAGAACAGGGAAGCUUUUCGGAGUGGAACUGGAAAGUUAGUGGCGGAUGGGUGAGUAACGCGUGGACAACCUACCUUGUAAAGGGGAAUAACCUCGAGAAAUCGAAGCUAAUACCCCAUAAUAACCUUGCUUCGCAUGAAGUAAGGAGGAAAGGCGGCCUUAGCGCUGUCGAUACAAGAUGGGUCCGCGUCUGAUUAGCUAGUUGGUGAGGUAAAGGCUCACCAAGGCGACGAUCAGUAGCCGGCCUGAGAGGGUGAACGGCCACAUUGGGACUGAGACACGGCCCAAACUCCUACGGGAGGCAGCAGUGGGGAAUCUUCCGCAAUGGGCGAAAGCCUGACGGAGCAAUGCCGCGUGAGUGAAGAAGGCCUUCGGGUUGUAAAACUCUGUCCUCAUCGAAGAGAGAGUGUUGUAGUAACUGACAAUACUAGGACGGUAGAUGAGGAGGAAGCCCCGGCUAACUAUGUG